AGAGUUUGAUCCUGGCUCAGAUUGAACGCUGGCGGCAUGCCUAACACAUGCAAGUCGAACGGCAGCGCGGGUAGCAAUACCUGGCGGCGAGUGGCGGACGGGUGAGUAAUGCAUCGGGAUCUACCCUGACGUGGGGGAUAACCUCGGGAAACCGGGACUAAUACCGCAUACGUCCUACGGGAGAAAGCGGGGGACCUUCGGGCCUCGCGCGGCAGGACGAACCGAUGUGCGAUUAGCUAGUUGGCGGGGUAAUGGCCCACCAAGGCGACGAUCGCUAGCUGGUCUGAGAGGAUGAUCAGCCACACUGGGACUGAGACACGGCCCAGACUCCUACGGGAGGCAGCAGUGGGGAAUAUUGGACAAUGGGCGCAAGCCUGAUCCAGCAAUGCCGCGUGUGAAGAAGGCCUUCGGGUUGUAAAGCACUUUUAUCAGGAGCGAAAUACUACGGGUUAAUAACCCGUGGGGCUGACGGUACCUGAGGAAUAAGCACCGGCUAACUUCGUGCCAGCAGCCGCGGUAAUACGAAGGGUGCAAGCGUUAAUCGGAAUUACUGGGCGUAAAGGGUGCGUAGGCGGUUCGUUAAGUCUGUCGUGAAAUCCCCGGGCUCAACCUGGGAAUGGCGAUGGAUACUGGCGAGCUAGAGCGUGUCAGAGGAUGGUGGAAUUCCCGGUGUAGCGGUGAAAUGCGUAGAGAUCGGGAGGAACAUCAGUGGCGAAGGCGGCCAUCUGGGACAACACUGACGCUGAAGCACGAAAGCGUGGGGAGCAAACAGGAUUAGAUACCCUGGUAGUCCACGCCCUAAACGAUGCGAACUGGAUGUUGGUCUCAACUCGGAGAUCAGUGUCGAAGCUAACGCGUUAAGUUCGCCGCCUGGGGAGUACGGUCGCAAGACUGAAACUCAAGGGAAUUGACGGGGGCCCGCACAAGCGGUGGAGUAUGUGGUUUAAUUCGAUGCAACGCGGAAGAACCUUACC
rnacentral:rRNA from 1 species